UACAGAGGUCUCAACCGUUGUUCGGAUUCAUUGGGCGUAAAGAGCUCGUAGGCGGUCUGUCGCGUCGGGAGUGAAAACUCAGGGCUUAACCCUGAGCCUGCUUCCGAUACGGGCAGACUAGAGGUAUGCAGGGGAGAACGGAAUUCCUGGUGUAGCGGUGAAAUGCGCAGAUAUCAGGAGGAACACCAGUGGCGAAGGCGGUUCUCUGGGCAUUACCUGACGCUGAGGAGCGAAAGUGUGGGGAGCGAACAGG
rnacentral:rRNA from 1 species